AACGAACGCUGGCGGCAGGCCUAACACAUGCAAGUCGAACGCCCCGCAAGGGGAGUGGCAGACGGGUGAGUAACGCGUGGGAACAUGCCCUUCGGUUCGGAAUAGCUCAGGGAAACUUGGAUUAAUACCGGAUACGUCCGCGAGGAGAAAGAUUUAUCGCCGAAGGAUUGGCCCGCGUCUGAUUAGCUAGUUGGUGAGGUAAUGGCUCACCAAGGCGACGAUCAGUAGCUGGUCUGAGAGGACGAUCAGCCACAUUGGGACUGAGACACGGCCAAAGCUCCUACGGGAGGCAGCAGUGGGGAAUAUUGGACAAUGGGCGAAAGCCUGAUCCAGCCAUGCCGCGUGAGUGAUGACGGCCUUAGGGUUGUAAAGCUCUUUUACCCGGGAAGAUAAUGACGGUACCGGGAGAAUAAGCCACGGCUAACUUCGUGCCAGCAGCCGCGGUAAUACGAAGGUGGCAAGCGUUGUUCGGAUUUACUGGGCGUA
rnacentral:rRNA from 1 species